AUUGAACGCUGGCGGCAGGCCUAACACAUGCAAGUCGAGCGGAUGAAGGGAGCUUGCUCCUGGAUUCAGCGGCGGACGGGCGAGUAAUGCCUAGGAAUCUGCCUGGUAGUGGGGGAUAACGUCAGGAAACGGGAGCUAAUACCGCAUACGUCCUGAGGGAGAAAGUGGGGGAUCUUCGGACCUCACGCUAUUAGAUGAGCCUAGGACGGAUUAGCUAGUUGGUGGGGUAAGGGCCUACCAAGGCGACGAUCCGUAACUGGUCUGAGAGGAUGAUCAGCCACACUGGAACUGAGACACGGUCCAGACUCCUACGGGAGGCAGCAGUGGGGAAUAUUGGGCAAUGGGCGAAAGCCUGAUCCAGCCAUGCCGCGUGUGUGAAGAAGGUCUUCGGAUUGUAAAGCUCUUUAAUUUGGGAGGAAGGACAGUAAGUUAAUACCUGGCUGUUUUGACGGUACCAACAGAGUAAGCACCGGCUAACUUCGUG
rnacentral:rRNA from 1 species